rnacentral:misc_RNA from 1 species
GUCAAAAGUACAAUAAAAUAAAUAUUAAAGCGAUAAGAAAACUUGUGUAUUUUUUGCUAAGUGAUUGUGUUUAAACUUGUGCGAGGCCGUGAUAUUUAUUAUCCAUAUUAAACGAAGAUGUGGACAUCCUGAAAGAGCCGGGUUCCUAAUUUGGUUUGGUGGACAUUGAGCAACUAAAUAUCGCUUAAAUAAAAUAUGACAUAGGAAUUACACAUUCUCUAUUAUCUUUGAAUCUCAAAACUUAAAUGUAUUUCUGAAGUAAAAAAAUGAAACAAAUUAUAGCCAAACCCAGAUUGAAAUGGAUACUCCUCUUUCUACUAUCGCUUUUUGUAAUAAGCUGGUGUCUACUUUAUGGUUCAAACAUAAAUCAAACAGACAUACGCUACUGUUUCAUGAAUAGUUUCAGCGCUUCUCCAACAGUUUCAUAUGCACAACAAAAAUAUGCACAAAAUAAGUUUAGUGUUGGUCCGCAUCUCCUGGACGAUAUAAUGCUUUCGGAACCGAAACCAAAUGCGAGUGGGCGUAGCAUUAUCUUUCACGAAACCAGUUGUCCGAAUGAAAAACUACGUAGUCGAAUGCAAUACUUAGGCAGCGCACCAAUUAAUAUGAUGGAUCUUACCGCACGGGAAGCAUGUGCCAUUGAAUCGGCUGCAUUACACAAUCCUGGUUUCAGUGUUUUUGUACUUUUUGCCAGUCCCGCUUACCGUGAUUACAAUAAUACUCCGCCAGUGAUAGAAGCGAUACUCAGCUACCCAAAUGUACAUUUACGCAACCUUAAUAUUUGGACUUAUGCCGCUGGAACACCCAUGUACCAGUGGUUAAAAGACGGCAAACUUUUUCGUUCCAGUUAUGUGCUAUCACACCUUUCCGACUUUUUACGCUAUUUAACAUUAUGGCGUUGGGGUGGCACUUAUCUCGAUAUGGAUGUCGUAGUGUUGCGUAGUUUAGAAAAAUUGCCACCAAAUUAUACAGGAGCGGAAUCAACAACAUACCUCGCAGCAGGGGUAAUGAACUUCUCUCCCGAUGGAUUUGGUCAUGAAAUUGCUGAAAAAUGCUUACGAGAUUUCUUGUUAAAUUUCGAUGGCAGUGAUUGGGGCAACAAUGGACCAGGUGUCAUAACGCGUGUCAUGAAUGAUGUCUGCAAGACAGCCAACAUUGAGUUAAUGAUGAAUGCUAAACGGUGUAUGGGAUUUCACAUAAUGCCAAGAGAAGCAUUUUAUGCGGUACCCUGGAAAAAGUGGGAAUAUUUCUUUGAAGCACAGUACCUGACUGAAACCCUCAAUUUGCUACGUGAUUCGUACAUAGCGCAUGUAUGGAACAAACACUCCAAGCAAAGGCAUGUGAAAGUGGGUGCAAACGUAGCUUAUGGUAUUCUCGCCGAGAAACAUUGCCCGAAAGUUUAUGCAGCAGCAGGCGAGUAUUUUUAAAACACGAACAACAAACAAGAAGAACAUUUAAUGUUAAAAAAAGGGUUAAGCAAAAAGCUUAAUAUAAGCUAACCUCGAACACAGUAAAAUAAUGCUCAUACUUGUAUGGUGAAUAAAGAUAAAUAAUAUCCUACCUAUUCCUGCCACAAGAAAAAUUCUACAUUAUUUUUAUACACACGUUGUUUUCAAAAGCGAUCGAAAUAUCGUUGCAAAAAUCCGAAAUGCAAUAGUUGAUAAUAAGACAAAUAUAAUAUUGGCAUACACGUUGAAAAUGCUUAUGUAUACAUCUAUAUAGCGUGCACUACAUUGUGCACUUACGACAUCACAUCGAUUACACACAUAUGUAUGUAUGCCAAUUGGCGUGUAAACUCCUAAUCAAAGUUAUACAAUGAAAUCAAAUGUGUAGUAUAUAGAAUUGUUAUGUAUAAGAUAUUAAGUGUUGUAUGAGAAAUAUAUGCACCCGUACACAAAUGAA